GAUGAACGCUGACAGCAUGCUUAACACAUGCAAGUCAACUGUGGCGGACGGGUGAGUAACGCGUAAAGAACUUGCCUCUCAGAUAGGGACAACAUUUGGAAACGAAUGCUAAUACCUGAUACUGUGAGAGAGCUUUGCGUCCCAUGAGCUAGUGGGAGAGGUAACGGCUAACCAAGGCGAGGAUGGGUAGCCGGCCUGAGAGGGUGAUCGGCCACAAGGGGACUGAGACACGGCCCUUACUCCAACGGGAGGCAGCAGUGGGGAAGAUUGGACAAUGGACCAAAGUCUGAUCCAGCAAUUCUGUGUGCACGAUGAAGUUUUCGGAAUGAAAAGUGCUUUCAGUUGGGAAGCAGUACCAACAGAAGAAGUGACGGCUAAAUACGUGCCAGCCGCCGCGGUAAUAC
rnacentral:rRNA from 1 species